rnacentral:rRNA from 1 species
GACGAACGCUGGCGGCGUGCUUAACACAUGCAAGUCGAACGGAAAGGCCCUGCUUUUGUGGGGUUCUCGAGUGGCGAACGGGUGAGUAACACGUGAGUAACCUCCCCUUGACUUUGGGAUAACUUCAGGAAACUGGGGCUAAUACCGCAGAGAAUCUCCUGCUGCAUAUGGUGGGUUGGAAAGUUUCGGCUGUGCGGUCUGGUCUCGCUGCUUAUGAGCUUCUUUGUGGGGUAGGGGUUUACAAAGGGUUUGACGGAUAGCCGGCCUGAGAGGGUGACCGGCGACAUGGGGACUGAGAGACGGACCAGUCGGCUACGGGCGGCAGCAGGCGAGAGUAUUGCACAACGGGGGCGAGUGUGUGACAGCAGCGCCGGGUGCGGGAUGCCGGGCUUUUGGUUGUAAACCGCUUUGGACUGUAACGAAGCGUGAGUGACGGUAAUGGAUAAAGAAGCAACGGCUAACUACGUG